ACUCCUACGGGAGGCAGCAGUUAGGAAUAUUCGGCAAUGGGGGAAACCCUGACCGAGCGACACUGCGUGAAGGAGGAAGGCCUUAGGGUUGUAAACUUCUGAACGAGAGACGAUAAUGACGGUAUCUCGGUAAUAGCACCGGCUAACUCCGUGCCAGCAGCCGCGGUAAUACGGAGGGUGCGAGCGUUAUCCGGAAUCACUGGGCGUAAAGGGCGCGUAGGCGGAUUGGAAAGUUGGGGGUGAAAUCCCGGGGCUCAACCCCGGAACGGCCUCCAAAACUCCCAGUCUUGAGUUCGAGAGAGGUGAGUGGAAUUCCGAGUGUAGAGUGAAAUUCGUAGAUAUUCGGAGGAACACCAGUGGCGAAGGCGGCUCACUGGCUCGAUACUGACG
rnacentral:rRNA from 1 species